rnacentral:rRNA from 1 species
AUUGAACGCUGGCGGCAGGCCUAACACAUGCAAGUCGAACGAGUGGCGGACGGGUGAGUAAUGUCUGGGAAAAUGCCUGAUGGAGGGGGAUAACUACUGGAAACGGUAGCUAAUAACGCCUACCAUCGAAUGUGCCCAGAUGGGAUUAGCUAGUAGGUGGGGUAAAGGCUCACCUAGGCGACGAUCCCUAGCUGGUCUGAGAGGAUGACCAGCGACACUGGAACGGAGACACGGUCCAGACUCCUACGGGAGGCAGCAGUGGGGAAUAUUGCACAAUGGGCGCAAGCCUGAUGCAGCCAUGCCGCGUGUAUGAAGAAGGCCUUCGGGUUGUAAAGUACUUUCAGCGGGGAGGCGUUACCCGCAGAAGAAGCACCGGCUAACUCCGUGCCAGCCGCCGCGGUAAUUC